rnacentral:piRNA from 1 species
UUUCAGUAUUGUGUAUAAUGGGG